GGACUACCGGGGUUUCUAAUCCCGUUCGCUCCCCUGGCUUUCGUGUGUGAGCGUCAGGAACGCGCCAGUGCACUGCCUUCGCCUUUGGUGUUCCCCAUGAUAUCAACGGAUUUCACCCCUCCACCAUGAGUUCCGUGCACCUCUCGCGCCCUCGAGCCUUGCCGUUUCCCUUGCGGCCCGCUGGUUAAGCCAGCGGAUUUUACAAGAGACUAACAAGGCCGCCUGGACACCCUUUACGCCCAGUGAUUCCGGGUAAUGCUUGGGGCCUCUGUAUUACCGCGGCUGCUGGCAC
rnacentral:rRNA from 1 species